rnacentral:misc_RNA from 1 species
UAGUGGACAGAAUUCUGUCGCGGAUAAUGAUAAAACUUUGAAUAAGACGCCUUGUACUCACGCCCUGUACUCUCGGUGUAGUGAGACCUAGCCGGUCCACAUUGGCCUACAACUCUCGCAAUUAAUCACAUCUGUCCUGUUGUGGACGUUCGAAGGUCAGAAAGAAUGUGGGUCUGGAUUGUGAUUGUGCUUUCCAUCCUUCCUUUAGAGUCAUAUGCUGAUUGCCCAUCCACUUGCAAUAAUGGAGGAACUUGCAACGUCAAUGUGUGUGCAUGUCGCGAUGGAUACAAGGGGCCGACAUGCGAUGCAGUGGAUGUCUAUGCGCUCUCCAAGGGAACCUCUGUUGCUGAGGGAGCGACAUUUGACAUAACAGUAACACGGGCUGAUUCGGGAACGGCUGUCACGUUGACUGUGGCCACUUCUGGUGUUGCGACUUCCAACUCGGACUAUGCCCUGCCUGCGUCCACUGUGGAAAUGGCUGUUGGGAAAAGUGUUGCAGUUGUAACAGUUAAUGUGAUUGAUGAUGACGAAGCAGAAAUUGAAGAGGACAUCACAGUCCAGAUGACCCUGAACACUCCACCAAGCGCUACAACAAUCAGAACAGUCCAAUAUAUGAUCACAGACAAUGACCCUCUUGGUAUUGCAUUAAACAUAGCCACAAAAACAAAAGAAGGAAGCACCAUUACUUUUAGUGGCGUUCAGUUCACCUUACCGAGUGGAGGUGCGAAUCCAAUCCCGUUGACGAUGACGGUUAAGGCGAUCACGGCGGCGGAGAACACAGACUACACCGUGUCGGCGACGUCUUCCGUUACCAUCAACUACGACCCGGGGGAUGCUGGAUCUCGGAGCGCUCUCGACUCUUUUGUAAUAAGUCUACCCGAUGAUGAGUUGGUUGAACCAGACAAGACUUUCAGCAUUGACUUCACAUCUGACUUCCUGCUGACAGGCGAUGUCAGCACCAGCAUCACUAUUGAGAAUGAUGACCCAUAUGUCGUGACGGUAGCAGAUCCUGGCGUUGUUGUAGAAGGGGGGACUGUGACACUGACAUACACCAGGGACACCCCGGUUGGUGACCUGACUAUCGACAUCAGCAGUACCGAUGGCACCGCCGUGUUUGCUCUCGAUUACACUACAGCUGCCUCAUCACUGACUUUCAACUUGCUUUCUGCUACCGCUCAGUUCACCAUUAUCGAUGACCAAGAGUAUGAACCAAGAGAAUCAUUCACGGUCACUGCCAGUUCUCCGUCACUGAAAUCAAGUGUUGCGGUCACUAUCUUCAUCGAUGACAAUGACAAGCCAGCGAUUCAGACCACACCACUGACUGUAGCUGAAGGGGACGGCACGGCGACCUUGACCUUGACAAGACCUACCACGUGGGAAGCUCUGUCCAUUAACUACUCGACCACAGGUGGAUCUGCGGAAACUGACACUGACUUCACGUCGGGGUCGGGGACAAUAACCUUUGCAGUUGGCGAGGGAGAGAAAACCAUUUCGGUUGAUAUCGUGAACGAUCAGGUAUACGAACCCCAGGAAAACUUCACCAUAGCUAUAACUUCAUCGGCGCAGCUGCGAGAAGAUCCAUCAACGACCAUCACUAUUGUCGAUGACGAUGACGAGACUGUAACGCUGACGUCGUUCCCUGCAUCGUAUGAGUCCACCAGUCUGGAGGUCACGUUACAACGGACGCUGGCUGUUGAUGCACUAACGGUCCAUGUGACUACCACGGAUGAGACGACGGCUGCUGCUGAUUUCACGCACCUGUCCAAUUAUGACGUCACUUUCCCCAUCGGUUCCCUCACUGCCACCUUUAACAUUGACAUCACAGAUGAUGCAGACAUUGAAGGUGAUGAGGUCUUCACACUGGACAUAGCUGGACCAAACGUUGCACCCUUUGCCCCGGUAAACGCCACGAUAGUCGACAAUGAUAAAAGUAGGUCUUUUGACUGCCGCCGGAAGGGUAGCGCGUGCAAUAGUUCAGACGAGGUAUGCCGCCCUACACUGCCAAUCUGUGAAUGUGUCGGGCAGCCGGCAAGGGAGGGCGAUGAGUGCAACAUUGUCACAGAAUGGAAGACUGACAGUGCUUGCCGUCAGAACAGCUGUAACAGCAAUGGAGAAUGUCAGGAGAAUGGCGGUUUAACCUCAUGUGCUUGUUUUCCUGGUUACUAUGGAGACAACUGCGAACACACCUACUUGAAAGCUGAAUGUACGAAGGACAGCAUGGUGUUCUAUGCAAAGCCACACGGAGACUUUCAAGGGGCAAUAUAUGUCAUGGAUAAGAUGGACGAAAGUGAUUGUGUGGCAGCCAGGGUUCCCGACCCACCACAACCGGGAGACGACAUCGACGAUGAUCUCAAGGGUUUCUUUGUAAACGUAACCCAUUCAAGUGCUGCGUGUGGAGUGAUCUCGCCCCAGGAAGGGAGUGCUGAUAUCCGAUACACGCGAGAGUUUAUGAUCCAGUACAACACGGCAAUCAACACCGGGCUGGACCAAGUGGUCACUGUCAUAUGCAGGUUUAACAAGAACAACCUCCUGGUCAGUGUUGAGGCGGUGACCAUUAACUCGAAUCUGGACCCGUUCACCAAGGUAAAUGCGACCAACACGUUCUCCCCAGUGUCACUGGCUGCCGACAUAGAUGGAUCACCGGUGGUAUCAACGUCCCCGAUCCGUCUGUCCAAAAAGGUCUGCGUCACACUCGAUGUUCCACCAGAGUUUGGUGGUCUGGAGAUUCUGGACAUUACGUUCAACAACUCUCUUCCCGCUACGCCCAUGUCAUGGCCGGUGUACACGCAGGGUUGCCAAGCUAGUGACUCUAUCGCUGUGCUGGUCAAUUUGCCCUUCUACCCGCAAACCAACAAGCGCAUCAUCAGGUUCUGCUUCUGGGCCUUCAAGUUUGUCAACAGUUUCCGUCUGACCGUGGAAGUCAACCUGCGAGUGUGUGUCAACGCUGGAGAUUGUGACGUGCGCAAGUGCACCAGUCGACGCAAACGUCAGUCAUCUAACGAGGAGACCACUGUUCAGUCAACGUUCAAUAUCUACAUCCCAGAAACCAACGCCUCUAGCGGUCAGACAAAUGAAUCAAGCACCACGGUUUCCCAAGUCAGUGAAAGCAGUUCGUGUAGAUUGCCGUUUGAAUUCCUCCCCACCGUUCUCUGUCUGGGAGGUCUUGUGGUGGCGCUUGUGGCACUCUGCGUGUUCCUCACAUUCAGGCUUCUGCACAAACCAAAGAUGCGAUGAAACACUUCCAGAUCCAAUCCACAACACCCAUGUGCCGCAUCACAAAGAGGGACCUAGGCCCUGUGCCCUUUUCCAGUCUCGACUUGAUACCUUGAAGUAAUACCAAGCCACCCGCUCUUUGACAUGUUUGAUUGAUUGGAAACAUUAAAAUAGUUACACAAAACUAUAUAAAUAUAUUACGUCAACGGCAGAGAACAAUCAGUCUCGACCAUCUUCUGCACCGUAACAUAUUCCAUUUGGAGAUAAGGCAAAAUAGUGUCGACAAUUAUAUUUACUAUUUACUGUUCAUGUAAUAGUUGGCCAAAUGCAUCGUAAUGUAGUCUACGGCCAUGUUAGGAAUUGAUCGAAGCCUUCUAAACUAGUUACUGAAAAAUACAAAACACCCUUCCAUUAAAUCAAUGUAAGCAUUUUUAACUACUAACUCGCCGACCAAAAAGACUAUUUUCGUAAAUACAUAUCAUAUUGAACUAGAAUUGUAAUGUAUUUCUAUUUCGAAUCCAUGGCAACUAACUGAUACCUUAUUGUGUUAUGUACGUCACUUUAAUUUGAGGAGCACGAUUAAUUAUUUCUAGUAGUAAUCUUUUGUAUUUAGUUUAAUCCUUUUGUAUGAUGGCGAUGUGAUCCACACACACUAUCCCUAGGCCAUUUAUAUAAAUACAAUCCCGACACAGUCAGACGUCAUAAUGAACCAUAUGCACGUAGUUAGUUCAUUCUUUUUACAAUUUCGUUACAAUGGAUGGUGUAUAGUUAUCUUUUGUGGUAUUUAUUUGACACUUCAGGGGCAUGUGGGAAUUGAAUUUUGGACAACUAUAUCACCACAUGUGCUUUUCUAAAGGAACAUACAUUUGGAUGGUAUUGGGUGGCAGUGGGGGUCUGAACCAACUUUUCAAUAAGAAAACCUCUUCAAACCCCCACCCCCCAAGACAUGAAAUGGAUGCUCCCUAACCUAUACUGUAUGGUUGGUACUGUGCGUGGGCUAUCAUAAAUGAGAUUACACCACUCACGUUUUACAUUUGGGUACCUGCGUUUGAUAUACAUCGCAUGAGUAUAUUCUUUUAACGACAUGUGUGAAAAUAGGUCUGAAUAUGUGUGUUAUUAGGGUAAUACUUGUCAUGGUUUUAAAUAGCUAUUUUCAAACAUGGCUAGGACUCCCUUUAAUGUACAAUAUAUAUCAGAUCUGGCAAGACUAAGUGGAUGAGCGCUGAGCAUGUGCCAAUAAUUGCAAUUAUGCACUGCUUCAUUGUCACAUAUGUGAUAUGCUAUUUGCAUGCUAACAACACUUCUCAUUCCCAUCGAAUGUCAUCGUUUAAUGGUUACUGUCAUUAAUGCCAUCCCGUAUGUACAUAAAAUCCAUCAAAGAAGGAAGGUUGCAUUGGGAAACAGCGUGCCUUUCGAGCAAAUUAGUAAAUACAUCUUCUAAUAUCUUGAUAAUCAUAUUGAUUAUGUAUUAUAGUCAGAUGACAUAGCUUUUGACAAGGUCAAAUCAAAGCUUUCAAAACGUUUAUUAUGUUAGACAUGUGUAGUUCCCGUGUAUCUCUUUCAGGUGAAUAAUUAACUGGCUUGCGUUUGUGACAAGUGACACCGGUGGGGCUGGUUACGGCAGACAUUUCGCGAACACCUGGUGUCAUCACUCUCUGAUAGUGAUUCAUAAACGAUUACUUUUGAUGUAGUCGGAGUCGUACAAUGGAUUUUUAUUGCUUUUAUCUAGAGGGUAUACAUAUCAGGGUACAAAGUUCAUAUAAUAUUCAUUGACUUGUCAUAAUUUACGAAAAGGAAAAUAAGAGUGACCGUGUCGUAUUACUGUCGUACGUACUUAGACAAACCGGUGAUAUUCCUGAUUAAAUAUUAGUAUAUUCAUACUAAAUGAUUGGUGUGAAAUAUAUCUUUUCCAUAUAACAUACCGAAUACUUUUAAAUGCAUGUUACGGCUUCAGGAAUGGAAUCAAAUAGUUCAGGAGUACUUGUCAAGGGGGUGAGGGGGUAUUACUGGAAGAUUACGUUAAUAUAUGAUAGAAAGGAGCUAGUGUUUUACAUGACGCAUCCCAGAGACAAUAUUACAUGUAUGCAAUUUGCGAAAUGUUCUGUCUACUGAAUCAUGGCCACAAUUUUCUCUAAGGAAAAGUUGAGUUAAAUAUUGAGCUGUAUAGUUUUAUCUUAUGUUUGUGUUCUUCCAAAUAUGUUAUGAUGUUACCUGUAUAGUGUUGUGGUGAAGAUACAUUUGUUGAUAACAUACACUGUCCUGAAAAUGAAGGUACAUUCUUCAUGUACAAAACCCUUAAACGGUCACCAUUCAUUUGAUAGGUAGUAUCUUGUUUGUUCAGGUUAAAGAGCACUUGCAGAAUAUCUCCUUUGUGUGAACUAAUGCCUCAAAUAAUGUUUUCAAACUUUUAAAAUCACGUAAAUCGAAGAUUUAAGUUGGCUUAUUCGUGUCACGUUGUCCGUCGUCCAUCCGUUCUUCUUCAGUUUACAUUUUCUUCUCCACUGAAACCAAUUUUGUUUGUUUGUUUGUUGUUUACGCGGCCGCAAUGUUUUUUAGAUAGACCCUAAGAUGUUUUCUGUUGUGUUGCAGCACGUCGCUUGUUAUGAACCGUUCACGCAUGUAUGCGUGCUAUUCUUAAUAAACUGUUUCCUUCUCCA